GAUGAACGCUGGCGGCGUGCUUAACACAUGCAAGUCGAACGGUGAAAGCGGAGCUUGCUCCGCUGGAUCAGUGGCGAACGGGUGAGUAACACGUGAGCAAUCUGCCCCUGACUCUGGGAUAAGCGCUGGAAACGGCGUCUAAUACCGGAUACGAGCUGCGAAGGCAUCUUCAGCAGCUGGAAAGAACUUCGGUCAGGGAUGAGCUCGCGGCCUAUCAGCUAGUUGGUGAGGUAACGGCUCACCAAGGCGUCGACGGGUAGCCGGCCUGAGAGGGUGACCGGCCACACUGGGACUGAGACACGGCCCAGACUCCUACGGGAGGCAGCAGUGGGGAAUAUUGCACAAUGGGCGAAAGCCUGAUGCAGCAACGCCGCGUGAGGGACGACGGCCUUCGGGUUGUAAACCUCUUUUAGCAGGGAAGAAGCGAAAGUGACGGUACCUGCAGAAAAAGCGCCGGCUAACUACGUGCCAGCAGCCGCAGUAACAC
rnacentral:rRNA from 1 species